rnacentral:rRNA from 1 species
UACGGAGGAUCCAAGCGUUAUCCGGAAUCAUUGGGUUUAAAGGGUCCGUAGGCGGUCUUGUAAGUCAGUGGUGAAAGCCCAUCGCUCAACGGUGGAACGGCCAUUGAUACUGCAGGACUUGAAUUAUUGGGAAGUAACUAGAAUAUGUAGUGUAGCGGUGAAAUGCUUAGAGAUUACAUGGAAUACCAAUUGCGAAGGCAGGUUACUACCAAUUGAUUGACGCUGAUGGACGAAAGCGUGGGUAGCGAAC